AUUGAACGCUGGCGGCAUGCCUUACACAUGCAAGUCGAACGGCAGCGGGCCUUCGGGUGCCGGCGAGUGGCGAACGGGUGAGUAAUGCAUCGGAACGUGCCAUUGAGUGGGGGAUAACGUAGCGAAAGUUGCGCUAAUACCGCAUAUUCUGUGAGCAGGAAAGCAGGGGACCGCAAGGCCUUGCGCUCUUUGAGCGGCCGAUGUCAGAUUAGCUAGUUGGUGAGGUAAAGGCUUACCAAGGCGACGAUCUGUAGCGGGUCUGAGAGGAUGAUCCGCCACACUGGAACUGAGACACGGUCCAGACUCCUACGGGAGGCAGCAGUGGGGAAUUUUGGACAAUGGGGGCAACCCUGAUCCAGCCAUGCCGCGUGAGUGAAGAAGGCCUUCGGGUUGUAAGCUCUUUCGGUCCGGGAAGGAAAUACGCAUGGGUGAAUACCCUGUGUGGAGUGACGGUACCGGAACAAGAAGACACCGGCUAACUACGUGCC
rnacentral:rRNA from 1 species